rnacentral:rRNA from 1 species
AGGCUCACACCCGCCGCUGUAGUCCAAGCCUAACACAUGCAAGUCGAACGGUACAGGAAGCAGCUUGCUGCUUCGCUGACGAGUGGCGGACGGGUGAGUAAUGUCUGGGAAACUGCCUGAUGGAGGGGGAUAACUACUGGAAACGGUAGCUAAUACCGCAUAACGUCGCAAGACCAAAGAGGGGGACCUUCGGGCCUCUUGCCAUCGGAUGUGCCCAGAUGGGAUUAGCUAGUAGGUGGGGUAACGGCUCACCUAGGCGACGAUCCCUAGCUGGUCUGAGAGGAUGACCAGCCACACUGGAACUGAGACACGGUCCAGACUCCUACGGGAGGCAGCAGUGGGGAAUAUUGCACAAUGGGCGCAACGCCUGAUGCAGCCAUUGCCGACGUGUAUGAACGAAGGGCCUUUCGAGGUUCGUCAAAGUACUUUCAAGCGGGG